UGGGGAAUAUUGGGCAAUGGGCGAAAGCCUGACCCAGCAACGCCGCGUGAAGGAAGAAGGUCUUCGGAUUGUAAACUUCUUUUAUGAGGGACGAAGGACGUGACGGUACCUCAUGAAUAAGCCACGGCUAACUACGUGCCAGCAGCCGCGGUAAUACGUAGGUGGCAAGCGUUGUCCGGAUUUACUGGGUGUAAAGGGCGCGUAGGCGGGAUGGCAAGUCAGAUGUGAAAUCCAUGGGCUCAACCCAUGAACUGCAUUUGAAACUGUCGUUCUUGAGUAUCGGAGAGGCAAGCGGAAUUCCUAGUGUAGCGGUGAAAUGCGUAGAUAUUAGGAGGAACACCAGUGGCGAAGGCGGCUUGCUGGACGACAACUGACGCUGAGGCGCGAAAGCGUGGGGAGCAAACAGG
rnacentral:rRNA from 1 species